UGAAGGCCUAAAAGCUGAUUCCGCUCUGAGAUUAAGGCAUGUUUUCAAGUGAAGGGACACACACACACACACACACACACACAUCCAGCACAUUUCUUCUUCAGAAAUAUUGGCCUAAAUAUUGGCCUAAUACGAUUUUUGAACAGAAUACUUUGACUUCCUCUCCCCUCACCAGAUAGAACCAGGAGAUAACAUUAGCCACUCACAAAGCAAUUUGUGACCACAGCCUUAUCUGUGGGGAAACUGGGAGGCUGCCAGAUGAGAACUGUUAAAAAGGAGGGCAGAAUGACACAUGAAAACAGCCUUCCCCCUCCCCGGUGCCCUCCAGCUGUUUUUGGACUACAUCCGACCCAGCAGAGCCACCUGGGUCCACUAUGCUCAUGUAAGGCCACACCCUUCUUCAGGUAGUCAUCUUCUGGGUCACCGACUGAAGCCAUGACAGUCAGUAAGUUUCCUAAUUAUGCCAAUAUUUCCCUUUGCAGUGUUGAUCAGACCUCCCCAAUGUUCUAAUUCUGUCGUCUCUCUCCUGUAGAAGCAGCAAAGAAGGCAAAGCGUUUGAUUUGCAUGUAGUGAAAUGUGUUGGUGGUGAAGGCUGGGAUUUCUCAGAAACACUUCACACACUGUCGCUUGCUUGUCUCUCACCUCAGAGGCACCCAGCCCCAAACUUUCAGAAUCCUCUGUGGGAUUUUUUUAUGCUCGAUCUGUACUCUGACUUCUUGC